rnacentral:piRNA from 1 species
UGGAUACUGAGUGCUUUCGGAGA